GAGCACGUAGGUGGGUUUGUAAGUCAGAUGUGAAAGCCUUCUGUUCAACGGAAGAAUUGCAUCUGAAACUGCGAGUCUUGAGUGUAGGAGGGGAGAAUGGAACUUCUGGUGGAGCGGUGGAAUGCGUAGAUAUCAGAAGGAACUCCGGCGGCGAAAGCGAUUCUCUGGCCUAUUACUGACACUCAGCGUGCGAAAGCUAGGGGAGCAAACGGGAUUAGAUACCCCGGUAGUCCUAGCCGUAAACGAUGGGCACUAAGUAGAGGGGUUUU
rnacentral:rRNA from 1 species